UACGUAGGUGGCAAGCGUUAUCCGGAUUUAUUGGGCGUAAAGGGAACGCAGGCGGUCUUUUAAGUCUGGUGUGAAAGCCUUCGGCUUAACCGGAGUAGUGCAUUGGAAACUGGGAGACUUGAGUGCAGAAGAGGAGAGUGGAACUCCAUGUGUAGCGGUGAAAUGCGUAGAUAUAUGGAAGAACACCAGUGGCGAAAGCGGCUCUCUGGUCUGUAACUGACGCUGAGGUUCGAAAGCGUGGGUAGCAAACAGG
rnacentral:rRNA from 1 species